GACGUAGGUGGCGAACGUUAUCCGGAAUUAUUGGGCGUAAAGGAUGCGUAGAUGGUGUAGUAAGUUAUCGGUGGUAAAUCGAGGCUCAACCUCGUGGAAGUCGGUAAUACUGCUAUACUUGAGGAUAGGAGAGGUUAACGGAACUCCCUAUGGAGCGGUGAAAUGCGUAGAUAUAGGGAAGAACACCAAUAAGGCGAAGGCAGUUAACUAUUCUACUCCUGACAUUGAGGCAUGAAAGCGUGGGGAGCAAAACGG
rnacentral:rRNA from 1 species